rnacentral:rRNA from 1 species
UACGUAGGGAGCAAGCGUUGUCCGGAAUCAUUGGGGGUAAAGCGCGCGUAGGCGGCCCGAUAAGUCCGUUGUGAAAGUCAAAGGCUCAACCUUUGAAUGCCGAUGGAUACUGUCGGGCUAGAGUCCGGAAGAGGCGAGUGGAAUUCCUGGUGUAGCGGUGGAAUGCGCAGAUAUCAGGAGGAACACCAAUAGCGAAGGCAGCUCGCUGGGACGGUGCUGACGCUAAGGCGCGAAAGCGUGGGGAGCGAACAGG